GUCCUAGCUGUAAACGAUGGGCACUGGGUAGAGGGUGGGUCAAUCCAUCCUCUGCCGAAGCAAAUGUGUUAAGUGCCCCGCCUGGGGAGUACGGUCGCAAGGCUAAAACUCAAAGGAAUUGACGGGGGCUCACACAAGCGGUGGAGCAUGUGGUUUAAUUCGAAGCAACGCGAAGAACCUUACCCGGGUUUGAAAUUCACGGAUGCCGCCCAUGAGAGUGGGUUGGCUACCCGCAAGGGUGAAACGUGGACAGGUGUUGCAUGGCUGUCGU
rnacentral:rRNA from 1 species